UUCUAAAGUCCUUCAAAAGCAAAACGCCAUUCCCAAGUCCCCAAUGUAAACCACAGCUGGAUAACACCAUAUUUGGCUAAAAUUCCAGCAUAUUUUCGCGAAAUUCAGCCAUUGUUCAUCCAGUUAUAGCAAGAAAUUUAUCGAUCCUUGUCUUCUUCCUCUAGUGAAGUCAAACAAACGGUAACUUUUCUUUUUUAUCUUUUCGAUUUUCCAUUUUCUUUAAAAGAUUCGGAUUUCAAAUCCUUUAUGAAUGAACUUCAAGUUGAAAUGCAUUCCAAGGCAAUCCAAACAUUGUCCCAUAUCGGUGUCAAACACUAAAACCCUAGCAUUUGGGGUUCUAUAAAUAGAUACCCAACUCUUUGUCACGACCUAUUUUACCUAAAGCCAUGCGGGCACUCACCUUCCCACCUCGGUAAGCGAACCCUCAACCCAACAAUGAAUAAAUACAUAAAAGAAUGAGUAUGUAUAUAUAUAAUAUAUAUAAGUAGUAGAAUAGUGCGGAAUAAUAAUAACACCCCCAAAUUCGGUAUAAACCCUAACUCUUUGAUUCCGAAAUUCAACGCUAGAAAUGAAAGAUAUAUGAUUAACAAGCUUAGAUUCAUCAAAAUCUUACAUAAACUCCAUCAAUUUUAUCAUUAAUAGCCUAGGGAAAAUGCUCAUCAAAACCCUCUUCCAACUUCCACUUCUAAGGGGUUUUUCAAGGAAAGGGGGAAUCUAAGAUGAUUAUGAUUAAAGGAAGAGUAAAAGAAUUAGCAAGAAUUACCUCCAAGAAUAUCUCCAAAAUAUCUCCAAGAACUGUUUCCCAAGGUCAAAUUUCGAAAUGGGAAAUAAUGAGGGUCUAAGGGCUUUUAACAUUUCAUUAAUUUUACAAACUACACGUCAUCUGCUUUACGGGCACUGGGACCGCCCUAGCGGUGCCACUUCAGCGGUCAAGGCAAAAGCCAUUGGACCGCUCCAGCGGUACCACUGUCGCGGUGCUGCCAAAGCGGGCACCAGACACCAGAAAACUCUCCAAGUUUGACCAAUUGAUCCGAUUUUCUGACUAGUUUCUGAGAAAAUCUGCUCACAUACCAUACACAUAGACACACAUAAAAACACGCUACGAACGCGCCCGUGGCCUCGGAAUUCCCAGCGGAUGUCUCGUUGACCGAGUCAACCCCCGAUGCCUUAAUUCCAAUUUCCCAACCUAAGUCCCAAAAUGCAUCCGGGUGCAUUUGGUAUCGAACCAAAUACACACACAAUUUCUAAACGACCAUCCGGACCUCUAGGAAUCGAUGGAAUCCCGAAAAGGUCCAUGUAUUCAAAAGUCAACUUUGUAUCAACCAUUUUUCAUUUCAAGUCAAUAUUUCAAAAAAGUUGCCCGAAUCAAGUCUAGACACCUCGGGAAGCGUGCCAACGACCCCCUAAGGUAAAAAAUGAGCUAAUCAAUGCUCAGAAAUGGGCGAAAUGCUGAAAAGACCAUAACGACCAAACGGGUUGUUACAUCAGAUACCAAUUAAACCGUCACUCGUCCUCAAGCGAAGAAAAGAAAGAAAGCGGGGAAAUACUUGAAUCAGUAAACAACUGAGGAUAUCGGCUACGCAUGUCAAACUGGGUCUCCCAAGUAGCCUCCUCAACAGGACGGUGCUUCCAUUGCACCUUCACGGAAGCAAUCUCCUUUGACCUCAACUUUCGAACUUGCCUAUCCGAGAUCGCGAUAGGCUCCUCCUCAUAACUCAAUUUCUCAUCAAGUAAUAUAGCAUCCCAACGAAAAAUGUAGGUAUCGUCGGCAUGGUACUUCUUCAGCAUCGAAACAUAAAAGACCGGAUGAACUCUUGCCAAGCCUGGCGGCAAUGCCAACUCAUAAGUUACAUCACCGAUAUGGUCAACAAUCUUAAACGGACCAAUAUACCUGGGGCUCAACUUGCCCUUCUUACCAAACCUUAUAACACCCUUCAUGGGUGAAACCUUCAAUAGAACCUGGUCACCAAUAGCAAACUUCAAAUCCCGGACCUUCCGGUCCGCAUACACCUUUUGCCGACUCUGAGCUGCUAAAAGUUUGGCCUGGAUAACUCUCACUCUAUCCAAGGACUCUCUCAAUAGAUUCGUGCUCCAAGGCCGAGCCUCGAAUCCAUCAAACCAACCAAUCAGAGAUCUACAUCUCCUAUCAUAUAAAGCCUCAAAAGGCGCUAUGCCAAUACUCGAAUGAUAAUUGUUGUUGUACGCAAACUCUACCAAGGGAAAGUGCUGAUCCUAAUGACCACCAAAAUCAAUAACACACGCUCUCAACAUUUCCUCGAGCACCUGGAUGGUCCGCUCGUACGGGCCAUCGAUCUGGGGAUGAAAAGUUGUACUAAGAUCCAAUUGGGUACCCAACUCCUCAUAAAACGCUCUCCAGAAACGGGAAGUGAAAAUAGUUCCUCAAUUAGAUACAACAGAAAUAGGAACCCCAUACAAUCUCAUAAUAUCCCGAAUGUACAUCUUGGCUAACUUCUCUGCGGUAUGGGAAGCCUGAACUGGAACAAAGUGAGCGGACUUAGUCAACCGAUAGAUCACCCAAAUAGAUCGAACUUGCCAAGGGUCUUCGGAAGACCCGUGACAAAAUCCAUGGUAAUCCUCUCCCAUUUCCACUCGGGAAUGGGCAUCCUCUGAAGCACCCCACCGGGUCGCUGGUGCUCAUACUUUACCUGCUGACAAUUUUCACAAUUAGCUACAAAAUCAACUAUAUCUUUCUUUAUCCGACGCCACCAAUAGUGUUGUCUCAAGUCACGGUACAUCUUAGUUGCCCCCGGAUGAAUGGAAUAGCGAGAACUAUGAGCCUCAGAUAAAAUCAACUGAAUUAAAUCACCGACAUGAGGAACGCACACGCGUCCUCUAAUCCUCAAAAUGUCGUCAGAAUCAAUCACGGCCUCCUUGGCUUCACCCCUCAAAACUCUAUCUCGAAUCUUGCUCAACUGAGCAUCCUCAAACUGAUGAGUCUUGAUCCGAUCCAAUAAGGACGACCUCGCCUUUAAACAAGCCAAAAUCCUGCCCGGGGCUGAAAUAUCAAGACGAAUGAAACUGUUGGCCAGAGUAUGAACCUCCAUGGCCAACGGGGGCUCAGAAACAAUCAAUCGAGCUAAACUCCCCAUAUUCACUGUCUUGCGACUCAAGGCAUCAGCCACUACAUUGCCUUUCCCGGGAUGAUACAGAAUAGAGAUGUCGUAGUCCUUCAGGAGCUCUAUCCAUCAGCGCUGCUUGGGAUUAAGAUAAACACAUGUUGAAGACUACGGUGACCUGUGAAAACUUCACAAUGAACACCGUACAAAUAAUGCCUCCAAAUCUUCAAAGCAAAGACCACGACCAACAACUUCAAGUCAUGGGUAGGGUAAUUCUUCUUAUGAACCUUCAACUGUCGGGAAGCAUAAGCUAUCACUCUACCCUCCUACAUCAACAUAGCACCAAAACCCAUAUGGGAAGCAUCACAAUAGACAGCGAAAUCCUUGCCCUUCACGAAUAAUGCCAAAAUCGGGGUUGUAGUCAAAAGAAGCUUGAGCUUUUGAAAGCUUUCCUCACAAUCAUUCGUCCACUGGAAGGGACCAUCCUUCUGAGUCAAUCUGGUCAAUCUGGUCAAGGAUGAAGCAAUAGCAGCAAAACCCUUCACAAAGCGACGGUAAUAACAGGCCAAGCCCACAAAACUACGAAUCUCAAUAACAGUAAUGGGCCUCGCCCAACCUCUCACAGCCUCAAUCUUCUGUGGAUCAACCAUAAUCCCAUCCUUAGACACAACAUGGCCUAAGAAUGUUACAGACACCAACCAGAACUCACAUUUAGAAAACUUAGCAAACAAGCUAUAUUUCUUCAACAACCCAAGAACAGAACGAAGAUGGCCCUCGUGCUCCUCCCUACUCUUGGAAUACACCAAGAUGUCAUCAAUAAAUACAAUCACAAAGGAAUCAAGGAAUGGCCUAAAGAUGCCAUUCAUCAAAGUCAUAAAUGUGACCGAGGCGUUGGUAAGCCCAAAAGACAUCACUAGAAACUCAUAGUGGCCAUAUCUCGUCCGAAAGGCUGUCUUCGGAAUAUCCUCUGCCCUGAUCUUCAACGGGUGAUAGCCAGAACGCAAAUCAAUCUGCGAAAACACCAAAGCACCCUGAAGCUGGUCAAACAGAUCAUCAAUACGAGGCAUAGGGCACUUGUUCUGAAUAGUGACCUUGUUCAACUGGCUGUAAUCAAUACACAUCCUCAUGGUCCCAUCUUUCUUCUUCACAAAUAACACAGGAGCACUCUAAGGGGAGACAUCGCUCUAAUGAACCCGUUGCUCAACAAAUCUUAUAACUGCUCCUUAAGCUCUCUUAACUCAGCAGGUCACAUCCGAUAUGGCGGAAUAGAAAUAGGAAGAGUGCCCAGAUCUAAGUCAAUAUAGAAAUCAAUGUCGCCAUCGGGUGGCAUACCCGACAGAUCUGUCGGGAAUACCUCCGCAAACUCGCUCACAAUAGGGAUAGACUCAAGGGGUGGAGAUGCAAUAAUUGUAUCAUGAACACGAGCCAAAUAAGCUAGACACCCCUUACUUACUAACUUCUUUGCCCGAAGGAAGAAAAUAAUUUUCUUCGGAGCGGGGCUAGGAGUACCCUUCCACUCAAGCCUAGGAAUGCACGGCAUGGCUAAGGUAACUGUCUUGGCGUGACAGUCUAAGAUCGUGUGAUAGGGAGAAAGCCAGGACAUACCCAAUAUAACAUCAAAUUCCACAAUAUCGAGAAUCAUCAGCUCUACCCAAGUAUCAUAUCCCAUAAAAGUAACCAAACAAGAUCGGUAGACUCGAUCAACAAUCAUAGAAUCUCCGAUCGGAGUAGACACAUGAACAAGUAUAUCUAUGCUAUCACAAAGCAAAUCCCAACCAACGGCAUGAAAUGCAAAUACAUACGAAUAAGUAGAUCCAGGACCAAAUAAUACAAAUGUUGCUCUAUGACGGACAAAAAUAGUAACUGAAAUCACAGCAUCUGAGGCCUCUGCCUCAGGCCUACCUGAAAAUGAGUAACAAUGGGCUCCACCACACCCGAUCUGAGAUCCUCCUCUCGUACCCUGAGAACCACCUCUAGCUGGCUGGGAACCACCUCUAGAACCAUGAGAAGCACCGCGGCCUGACUGAGCGCCGCCCCUCUGGGAAGUACCACCUCGACCGCCAGAUGAUGUAGGAGUCCUCGGUGGCUGGUAAUCCCGUCUGGGUCGGGGACAUCUCCUAGCAACAUGCCCAAUAUCUCCACAAGAAUAACAGGUAAUAGAAGAUGAAUGUUGAUACACGGAAGUUGAAUACCCGAAUGAAGCAGCCCUGUCCACUGGCUUGGAGAACGAACUCUCAGGAGCCCUCUGCAUGGGUGGCUCACUAGAAGAAGCUGGCAACGCUGAAUGCACGGGACGAACGGAAUAUGGCUGAGGUGGCCUCAAAAAUUGACCGGCGCCCCUCGAACCAUGACCUCCAAAACUACCAGUCUGACACUAUCUUUUGUCACUACUACUAAAAGCACGGGACUUAGUUCCCUCAACCAUAGAAGCAUGCUCGAUAAUGGACUGGAAGGAAGCCCCCCAUAGACUCCAUCUGAAGACAAGGAAUCUGUAGAGAGCCCACUAGUCCCCCAACAAAACGCCUGAUCCUAUCAGCCGCAGCAAGGAUCAAAGGAGUAGAAUAGCGGGCCAAAUAUAGGAAGCGGGUCACAUAGGACUCCAAAGACAUGCCCGCAUGCUCCAGAUACAAAAACAGCGCCCUUCAUGGGCCUAAUAUCAUCACUAGGAGUGGGUAUCGCAUCAAUGCAAGGAGCCAUAGUUGCAGCUGGAUGUACCACCCGCAUAGGUCCCUGCUCAGGGGUCUGCGCCCUUACUCGGGUCUAUGAACCCCUGCCGGGAGUAGUAACACCGGCUGCCGCCUACUGGGCAUCAGGAUGAAGUAGAAUCCUAGCCAUUGUGUCGUGCACGGCCUGAUCAGAAGUAACCUCAGGCUGUGUCCGUGAUGGGGCCACACCAUCCUCUACGGCCUGGUCUCUAUCCGGUUGAUACUCGAGCUCGGGAGAUGGAGACCUCUCUCGUUAUUGUCCUACUGCAGGAGCCCUACCCCUGGCUGGGGCAGCCCCGCAGCCUCUUGCUCUGCCACACCCUCUGGUUGUCACUCGCCCUCGGGUGCCAGCCGUAGCUGUGGGCUCUGGCACAUGACCUCGGGCCAUCGUGGCUCGAGUCCUUACCAUCUAUGAGAGAAAAGAUAAGGGUCAGAUACUAAUUUGAUCUUUCCAGAUACCAAUUCGAAUAAAGUAGCACGAAAAACGAAAGAAAGUGAGAUUUCCUAAAUGUCCUGUAGCCUCUCGCAGAUAAGUAAGGAGCUCAUCGUACCGAUGCACGAGACUCUACUAGACACGCUUUUGUAUUAUAGACCAGGUAACCUAGCGCUUUGAUACCAACUUGUCCCAACCUAUUUUGCCUAAGCCGUGCGGGCACUCACCUUCCCACCUCGAUAAGCGAACACCUCGGUAAGCUAACCCUCAACCUAACAAUGAAUAAAUACAUAAAAGAAUGAAAUUAAGCAACAGAAUAGAAUAAACGCGUAAGUCUCACGAUAUAUAUAUAUAUAUAUAUAUAUAUAUAUAUAUAUAUAUAUAUAUAUAUAAAAGUAGAAUAGUGUGGAAUAAUAAUAACACCCCCAAAUUUGGUAUAAACCCUAACUCUUUGAUUCCGAAAUUCAACGCUAGAAAUGGAAGAUAUAUGAUUAACAAGCUUAGAUUCAUCAAAAUCUUACAUAAACUCCCUCAAUUUUAUCAUUAAUAGCCUAGAGAAAAUGCUCAUCAAAACCCUCUUCCAACUUCCACUUCUAAGGGGUUUUUCAAGGGAAAGGGGAAUCUAAGAUGAUUAUGAUUAAAGGAAAAGUAAAGGAAUUAGAAAGAAUUACCUCCAAGAACUGUUCCCCAAGGUCAAAUUUUGAAAUGAGAAAUAAUGAGGAUUUAAGGGCUUUUAACAUUUCAUUAAUUUUACAAACUGCCGGUCACCCGCUUUAGCGGCAUUGGGACCACCCCAGUGGUGCCGCUUUAGCGGUCAAGGCAAAAGCCAUUGGACCGCUUCAGCGGCAGGGCUACAACUCUAGCGGUACCGUUGCCGUGGUGCUGCUGCCGCCAAAGCGGGCACCAGACACCAGAAAACUCUCCAAGUUUCACCAAUUGAUCCGAUUUUUCGACUAGUUUUCGAGGCCAUCUGCUCACAUACCAAACACAUAGACACAUAUAAAAACACCCUACGAACGCGCCCGUGGCCUCGGAAUUCCCAACAAAGAUCUCGUUGACCGAGUCAACCCCUAAUGCCUUAAUUCCAAUUUCCCAACCUAAGUCCCAAAAUGCAUCCAGGUGCAUUGGGUACCGAACCAAAUACACACACAAUUUCUAAACGACCAUCCGGACCUCUAGGAAUCGACGGAAUCCCGAAAAAGGUACGUCUAUCCAAAAGUCAACUUUGGAUCAACCAUUUUUCAUUUCAAGCCAAUAUUUCACAAAAGUUGCCUGAAUCCGGUCUAGACACCUCGGGAAGCGUGCCAACGAUCCUCUCGGGUAGAAAAUGGGCUAAUCAAUGCUCAGAAACGGGUGAAAAUGCUGAAAAGAUCAUAACGACCAAACGGUUUGUUACACUGUUCAUUCAAGAACAAGUUUUGAACACCCCAAGUUCUAGAAUUUUAAAUUUCUUGGCUCCAAAAACAAGAAAUUUCUCUUGUACUCCGCGUUCUUGAAUUAUCGGAACAAGUUUAAAAAUUUUGUUUCGUUUCGAGUGAGUUUGUUGAGUCGGUGAAAGGUCGUGUUGAGUCGGUGAAAGGUCGAAGGUGAUUCGCUACUCUCGUCACCCCGUCGCUGCUCGACGAAAAGCUUCUUUGCAUUGCGAGUUGUGCCAAAGGCCCAACAUAACAUUCUAUGGAGUCAGCCAAAUCCCAUUUCUAGCAGCAGCCGCAGAUAGAAGGCGCAAUCAUGGGUGAAAAUGGUUCAAGUUUAGGUUGGUGGGAUUGGUAAACCCACCAACUCAUUUUGUCAUUUUAUUUUAAUUAUAUUUGUAUUGUAUGUAUGAAUACUAGUGGAUAUUGAAACCCAUCGUUAGAACUUAGUCAAAUUAGGCAAACAA